rnacentral:lncRNA from 1 species
CAUUGGACUUGGACAGCUUUGUUCCUUCUCUGGGACCAAGUCAACAAGCUGGGACCAGAGGAGCUGCGGCUGUAGCACGCAGGGACCGAACAAAAGAGCAAAUAUACAGAUAUCCCUGGAAGCCAGAGUUCUUGGAAGGAAGAAAUACACAUACAGAAUGGGAGAAGGCAAGGAAAAACCCUGUAAGGUUGGGAUGCAUUCAGAGAAAUAGAAACUUCUGAUUCCAUAUAGGUAUCUAUUUCCUAGGUCUGUCUAUGAAAGCUCUUAAAACAGUGCACUCACAUAGAAAUGAACACAUCUAGUACCCAGAUCUCAGUUUCUAAAUGCUAUUCCCACUAAACAAACCAGUACUCAUUGUGGAAAUAGCUACUAAUUCAAUUCAAUAACUGGGGCAGGGAAAGCACAAGAUAAGAUCAUCAUCUUGUUGUGCCAAAGAGUAAGAAAGUGUCUUAAAAACUUGGGAAGCAUAUAACAAUACACAGAAGCAUGCUUGAAGGGGCUCCCACUUUGAUAUCUGGGACGAUGUGAGUAAGGAAAUUAAUGAGAACUGUUGUAGAUUAUAAACAAUUAAACAUAAUAAAUUCCAUGAGUCCCUACUAAUAAAAAUUACAUAGACAGAUAAAUGAUGGAUGGAUGGAUGGAUGGACGAAUUGAUUGAUAGAGAGAUAUAAAGAGAACGAUAGGCAAGAAACAACCAAUGGAUCUUGGGUAGAGGAAGGUAGUUUUAUAAAAAAUACUUGCAAAAUCUAAAAGCAUAUCACUACAAAUUACUUAUAAAGAAAAAAGAAAAAAGUGGAGAAACUGAACACUUGCAACCAAGUGAUCUAAAUUAACAUUACCAAUGAAGGGCACACAGACAUAUUGUGCCUCUGGAUGUAUGCCCCAUGAAAAAUAAAAUAUCACCUGUGGAGUACACUAGCCAUAAAGGGAUAAUUUCCAUUUUAUCAUAAAAAAUAUAAAAAAUAUCCACAUUGAGAAACAAUAGUCAAAAUAUCUGAGCUUUGUUUUUCAAAAUUAUCAAUAAUAUAAAAAACAAAGAACAGCUGAAUAUGGUUCCUAAUUAAAGGAAAGUAAAGAAACAUGACACCUAAAUGCAAUUCAUGACUCUAGAUUGGAUUCUUAAACUGGGGCAGGAGAUAAUAGUCAUAAAGCAUACUAUGGGAAAACUGACAGUUCUGGAAUAUGAUCUGUAGGUCAAAUGUUAUAUGAAUGUUAAAUUGCUUCAAGACAUUGAUGAAAGAAGGGAAAUCCUUAAAUGAUGGGCCCAUUUAUUAUGCCUGCUCCUCCAUAUGUUUUAGAAUCAAGUUCAGUGAGAACAUAAAAUGUUCCUUUUUUUCUCCAUCAUCACUAUCAAGUCAGCCUGACAAAGGCCCAGUAUGGCCAACAUUUCACAUUCCCUGAUUACUACUUCUCAACUAAAUGAGGCUUAGCUUUACUGUCCAUGCAUAUACCAAGAAGGACAGAGAUGAUACCAUGCUGUAAGUCUACAGUUUUCCCGAACCCAGCUCUGCAGAGACUACUUUAAAGAGAUCUAGGUGCUGAUUUUAUUUGUGGGAACCAAAGCUCCAUUGAAGUGAACACACAAGCUAAUUAGCAGAUUUCGAACCUUAGAAACCUUCAUUAUAUUAUAAUCCUACAUCAUCUUUUGAAGCUCAAACAAAAUGUAACUCUGCUCAUUAAUCGUUGGCAGUAAGUGCAUCAUCUCUGCCUUUGAAUACCCUCAGGCUAAUGAUAUGCUGAAAGGUGUCAGGCAGAGGAUGACUCAUAAUGGUAGUUUUUGCUGGAGCUAUUACUCUGUAUGCACACACAUAUACCACUGUAAAUGACUUUUUCUGUACCUGUGUGCUUGCCUCUUUCAAUUGCAUGUGUGUGUGUCUGUGUGUGUACAGAUGCAUACUGAUGCUUAUAGGUGUAAGUUCAUGCCUCUGUGCAAGUGUGUGGACACCUCUGUGUCUGUGUGGAUAAAUACCUCUGCAUUGCUGUGCUACUUUGUGUGUGUGUGUGUGUGUAAAACUCAUACACUACUAAGUAUAAAAUGGAUGAACAAUGUAUUUAUAAGGAUCUCUUUAAUGGUAAGUGACAUUAAACUAAACUAAAAGUUGUUUAAGGAAAAAGGAAAUUUAUUGGCUUAUUUAACAGAAAUAUUUAGGGUUAGCUUUAAGUUCCCACAUGGAAAAGGAAAAAUUGGAACCACCCACACAUAGUGAUGGCUGGUCCCCUGCAUAUAUCAAUUCUGCUGAGCAGGAAUAACAGGAUUCUCUGCCCUGGUGACCAGAGUCUGCUUUGGGCACCUGGUCUGGGGACCUUCACUGAGCUGUUUCUAAGGCAUUCCUUUUUUUUUUUUUUUUUUCUUUUUCUUUGGCUUUUAGUUUCUUUGCUUCCAGGCAAUUCCUGGGGUAAGUAACAAAGCCAGAAGUUUCAUCAAGUCACCAUAUUUAAACCCAGAAACAAAUCUGAGAAUUUCUAUUUUCAAUCAACAGGCCUUCCUUCAUCCCCUCAACCCUCAGCUUUGUGGCCUCUAUCUUGGACUGUCAAAGGCCAGUUUAAACAAUGGUCACACAGAGAUUCACACUUCUCGCAAGCCCCAACUCAAUCUCCUGCCAUGUUUUUCAGCUGUCUGAAUCGUGUGCACGGUUGUGGGACAUUUGGACUACAGAUAAGAAAAUGUGGCACAUAUACACCAUGGAAUAGUAUGCAGCCAUAAAAAAUGAUGAGUUCAUGUC